AGCAGUCGCCGCGGGAAUACGUAGGGUGCAAGCGUUAAUCGGAAUUACUGGGCGUAAAGCGUGCGCAGGCGGUUAUAUAAGACAGAUGUGAAAUCCCCGGGCUCAACCUGGGAACUGCAUUUGUGACUGUAUAGCUAGAGUACGGCAGAGGGGGAUGGAAUUCCGCGUGUAGCAGUGAAAUGCGUAGAUAUGCGGAGGAACACCGAUGGCGAAGGCAAUCCCCUGGGCCUGUACUGACGCUCAUGCACGAAAGCGUGGGGAGCAAACAGGAUUAGAUACCCGCGUAGUCCCUGUCUCUUAUAA
rnacentral:rRNA from 1 species